CAGAGGGUGCGAGCGUUAAUCGGAAUUACUGGGCGUAAAGCGCGCGUAGGCGGCUUUGCAAGUCGGGUGUGAAAUCCCCAGGCUUAACCUGGGAACUGCAUUCGAGACUGCAUUGCUAGAGUAUGGGAGAGGGAAGUGGAAUCUCCGGUGUAGCGGUGAAAUGCGUAGAUAUCGGAAGGAACAUCAGUGGCGAAAGCGACUUCCUGGACCAAUACUGACGCUCAUGUGCGAAAGCGUGGGGAGCAAACAGGAUUAGAUACCCUGGUAGUCCACGCCAUAAACGAUGAGAACUGGAUGUCGGGAGGGUCUGCCUCUCGGUGUCGUAGCUAACGCGUUAAGUUCUCCGCCUGGGGAGUACGGCCGCAAGGUUG
rnacentral:rRNA from 1 species